GACGAACGCUGGCGGCGUGCUUAACACAUGCAAGUCGAACGAAGUGGCGAACGGGUGAGUAACGCGUAAUCAACCUGCCCUUCAGAGGGGGACAACAGUUGGAAACGACUGCUAAUACCGCAUACUGAAGGAGGGGAUUGCGUCUGAUUAGCUAGUGGGAGGGGUAACGGCCCACCAAGGCGAUGAUUAGUAGCCGGUCUGGAAGGGUGAACGGCCACAUUGGGAAUGGGACACGGCCCAGACUCCUACGGGAGGCAGCAGUGGGGAAUCUUCCGAAAAGGAGGAAAGUCUGACGGAGCAACGCCGGGGGAGUGAUGACAGCCUUCGGGUUGUAAAGCUCUGUUAAUCGGGACGCGGUACCGGAAGAGAAAGCCACGGCUAACUACGUGCCAGCAGCCGCGGUAAUUC
rnacentral:rRNA from 1 species